GACGAGGGAUCCUAGCGUUGUUCGGAAUCAUUGGGCGUAAAGCGGGUGUAGGCGGACUUAUAAGUCAGGUGUGAAAUCCCAGGGCUCAACCCUGGAAGUGCAUUUGAUACUGUAAGUCUUGAAUGUGGUAGAGGUUACUGGAAUUGCUGGUGUAGUGGUGAAAUACGUAGAUAUCAGCGGGAACACCGGAGGCGAAGGCGGGUAACUGGGCCAACAUUGACGCUGAGACCCGAAAGCGUGGGGAGCAAACAGG
rnacentral:rRNA from 1 species